AGCUCCCGACACAGUUUGCGUCUAAACACCCCUUGAGAGCCCAGGAAACGCUGCCUCCUGCUUCUGGCCUGGAAGGCUCAGAGACCCACCCCUGGCCAUUCUCAACUCAGCCCUCUCCUCCACACCUGCUCUGGGCUCCCUCAGUUUCUUGAUCCUGCCAAGCUCUCCCCAGCCUCGGAAGAGGAACACUGGAUACAGACACACAGAGGUGAAUCCGGGCAAGACGACCCGCCACAGCUGCUUGACAGAGUGAGGAGACGGCGGUGUGCAAGCCAAGGAGAGAGGUCUCAGAGGAAACCAACCCUGCUGCAACUUCAACCUUGGACUUCCAGCCUCCAGCACUGAAUGGGUAAGCUGAUUGUGAGCUCCUUGCCUCAUGUGCUGGUGUUGUGCAUUCUUGCCGAGAACGUCCAGGCAGGAAGCGCUCUGGGACCCAUCAUGGAGUAGACUGCAUCGCUGUCUCGGGCUUGUAGCGCCUUUGCUCCUCAGGUACAGACCGCCGAGUCCGUGACUACCCACACGGCUUGCCUUCCUCUCCAAAUGUGAACUCUGGCUGGGGUGGUCAGCUGUGUCUGUCCUUUCAUGCCUUAUCUGUGGUGUCCUGUCUGAGCACUUACAUUCAUCUGUGACUGCUCACUGAUCUG